UCAUACGAUUAAUUUUAGAGCAGCCUGAAUCUGACCAGUGUCAAUUUGUUUUCUCUUCUUUCAGGAGGACUCAGUACAGUGGGACCUGUCCAUCUCGUGAUGCACAGAACUUUUUUCCAUGCUGCUGUGUGGGACUUCUGCCACAACAGGAGGAUGCAAAUAAGAGCCAUGGAGGAAGCAGUAUCUGCUGGAGAAGGAUGUGAGACAGCCUCAGUCAGAAGGGAAAGAAGAAUGCCAAGGGCAGAGGUGAUCAAGUGAGGAGCACUGGUUUGGACACAGAGGAAGGGCAGGCCCCAUGGGGGAUAGGUACGUGGGUGAAGUGCAGGCUGGUGCAACAGUUCUGGGACAGGGGUCUGCACGCAAUCACUGCUGCCAGUGCAGAAGAUAAGAGGGAUAAAACCCUGCAGGGAGGAAGAGAAACACAGCAAGAUCUCGGUGUGGUUCAUUGACAAAAGCAAAAAAACACAUUGUAAGAAGGGGGAUGGCAUUGAUGUGGGGGUGGCAAACAGAGUUCAUCUCAAAGAGCUGCCCCAUUACAACCUUUCCU
rnacentral:lncRNA from 1 species